rnacentral:lncRNA from 1 species
AUUCUGCACCAUAAAACUUUCUGAAUAAACUACAUUGAGAAAACAACUCAUGGUGAAAACAAUUAUAAUUUCAACAUACAAGAGUGAAGUUACGUAGAAAUUGUAUCAAUUCUUGACACUUGACAGUAUAUAGCAAUGUCCUUCUACAAAUAAUAGAGCAUAGGAAGUACUUCAUUCAACAACGCAAAGUGUCCACUUUAUUUUUUUCAGAUAGUGUGGCUAGACAACCCACAUUCUGAUGCGGACAUCCAUUUACUAUUUAUUUUCUUUCAUUUACUAUUUAUUUUCUAUUUGAACUAUUAGUUAUAUUCUAUUUGGAUUAUUAUUUAUAUUUCUGUUAUUGGGCUUGUUUAGUGGAUUUAGCCCAAGCCCUUCUCUUUAGGGUUUUUGUUUUAUUCUUUAUUUCUGUUUUGUUGCGUAUUUGAGAUAGUUGAUGAAUUGAUUGAAUAAUAAAGUGGCUGUAGCCCUGUUUUUCCUCUCUUCUUCCCUCUCUCUGUGUUCUUCUCUCGGUUCCCCCUUCUCUUUUCCUCUCUUUCUUGCUUCUUCUUUCUAUUUUUUAAUUCGUCCUGCAUCAAAGUGGUAUCAGAGCCAAAAUUUGGGUAGUUUUUCAUCCACAAUCCAAAACUUUCUUUCUAUCCUCUUCCCAAAAACUUGUGGAACAACACAAACAAAAAAAAAUUGUUAUGAAACAACAGUUUUCUUGUUCAAUUUUCUUUCUAGUUGAUUAGGCAAAAAAAAAAAAAAAAAAAGUCACUGUUGAUGGGUACUGUUCACACCCGGAAUUUCAGUUUUUUUUUUUUUUAUAAAUUUUUAAGCAGUUUCACAAAAAAAAAAAAAUUAUUACUGUUCACGAGUACUAUUCACACCCGAAAUUUCUUUUUUUUUUUAAUUUAUCAUUUUCUGCAGUUCCAAAAAAAAAAUCGUCACUGUUCACGUGUACUGUUCACACCCGAAAUUUCUUUUUUUUAUUUUUUAUUUAUCAUUUUCUGCAGUUCCCAAAAAAAAAAAGUGAAAAAAAAGAGAAGAAACGUUUUUUCUAUUAUUUACAGGUACAUCUUUUAUUCUGAUUGAUCUGACUUGACUACUUCGACGAACGAAAGGGAAAUUCUUGCUUUUAUUUAUUGUUGGUUUAUAUUACUGUUUCAUUUUGAAAUUGCAUCAAUUAAAUUUUUGUACUGCUGCUGAUCUAUUUUUAUCUAAACUCACGUAAUUGGAUCCAUUGACCUCGUUAAAUCUCACUUUAACCUGCUUAUUUUACGUGAUUAGGUUUUGACUAGUAUUUGACCAUUGCUUUAUUAUUUUACAUAUACCAGCAGUAAUAGCUUGUUGUAUAUAAUUUUAAUCCCAAAAUUUAAAUUAAAAAAAAAAUAGCUCAAAUUUUCAUUUUCCAUUACUUGUACUUUUUGUUCGUUGAUCUCUCUAUUGCAUGUCAUUAAGUUGCUAUUACAGUGCAUGUAGUUACAUAUUGGUCAUUUUGUUGCAUUGCUUUAUUAUUUUACAUAUACCAGCAAUACUAGCUUGUUGUAUAUAAUUUUAAUCCCAAAAUUUAAAUUAAAAAAAAAAAUAGCUCAAAUUUUCAUUUUCCAUUACUUGUACUUUUUGUUCGUUUAUCUCUCUAUUGCAUGUCAUUAAAUUGCUAUUACAGUGCAUAUAGUUACAUAUUGGUCAUUUUGUCACUUCUAGCUCUAGUACCUUAAACAUGAACCCUUCACAAUUCGAUGCACUCACCCGACAAAUAGCGGCUAUUCAAACUCAAAUGACCGCUACUCUUGAAGAGAGUAAGGCCCUAUCUGUUAGUUUGAAAAAUUUUAAACACAUCCCUCAUUCAAUUGAUGUUGAUAAUUCUAAGGUGUCUCAUAAUAGACAACAUCGUCGACAAGGUAAUCAAAAAUACUUUCAACCCGAUCAUAAGGAUAGGGAUAGGAAUAGGGAUCAAAUUCGUGAGUGAGAACGAGAUAAUUUUGAAAUUCUUACUCAAUGGAAUGCCCUUAAACAAGGAAAUCAAUUAGUGACUGAGUAUAUCGCGCAAUUUGAGGAAUUUCGAACCAAAUGUCAUUUAAUUGAGGAUGAGAGCACGACUUUGAGUAGGUUUAGCCAAGGUCUAAGAGAUGAUCUUAAGCGCGAGCUUUUCCUUCGAGGUGUCACUACUCUUAAUCACGCUUACUCUUUAGUUCGAAAUUAUCAGUUGAUUAUUAGUACUGCAUAUGAAAGUGUGGUCAUCUCGCCUCAUCACAAGUCUAUCAUAAAACCUUCUCCGUCUAAUGUUCCUUCUAUUUGGAAAAAUAAUUGUAAAGGUCGUGAUAGUCCAAGAUCUUCUUCUCCAGGUAGAAAGCAUAUUGACAAUCAUCAUUCGGUGUCACUGGCUCCACUUCCUCCCGUUAAAUCCCUUCUAGGACCUCCCCGUCUGAUGUUCCUCCAAUUUUGAAAAAUAAGGAUAAAAUUUUUUAUAAUCAUUAUUUGGCUUCAUUGGCUCCACCUCCUUCCGUUAAGUCCCUUCUAGGACCUCCCCCUUCUAAUGGUUCCCAGAAAAUCAGGGUAAAAUUUUUGAAACUCCAAGGUCUUCUUUUCACUUGUUGUGCGUCAACUGUAAAGACUUUGGUCACAUUUCUUCUAAAUGUCCUAAUCGAACCUUAGUCAUGGAAGAACGAAAGAAUGUAAUAGAAAAGCCAUUGGAAGAUUUAGUCUAUGAACCUAAACUUGAAGAUUUUGAUGACUUGGAUGAUAGUGAGGACACUUCCUUAGGUGGAAUCCAAACUCUUUCCAAGACUUGGGAUACUAUACCCCUUAUCUCUGACAAUUCUCGAUCACAUGUUAUAUGUCAUACACUUACCCAAGUUAAAAAGCUUGACGGUGUCACCAGUCACCCUUGGAAAAUUCAGUCGCCUGUGGUUAAUACUAAGGCAAAAUUAUUCACCAUUGACCAACCUCAAAUUGAUGGUCGCAACAAAAGUGCUAAUCAAAAUCCUGACAAUUUAUUACAGUCUCUAGUCCAGAAAAAUCUUGAAAAUUGGGACUUGAUCCCUCCAAUUGUUCAAAUUGCAUAUAACAAUCCCAUGAACUGUUCUUUAGGUCUAAAACCCUUUGAAGUUAUUCUUGGUUGUGAACCUUUGAAACCUCUAAACCUUAUUCCCAUGCACUCACAUGCUUGUGUGUUUAUGUCAGUUGAGGUAGUUGUAUCACAUUUUCAUAGCUUGCAUAUUGAGAUCAAUAAAUAAUUUGAAGCAAGUAAAGCAUUAUAUAAACCUCAAGUUGAUUGGCAUAAACAAUACUUUGAAUUUAAUAUUGGGAAUUAUGCUAUAUUGCAAGCGUGUAAUGCUGAUCUUUUUAAAAUUUCAAAGCAAGUUGGUCAAAAUGCCUAUGUCAAUGACCUUUUAUCACAUUAUGACCACCGCCCUUUUUUAUUUGUUACAGACUUCGAUGCUUACACCGGCUAUUUUAGCCCCUCUGAUGACCCGUUUCUACUCCCACAUGAGAAUUCCCACACUGAAUCUUUUGCCAUGUCUGCUUCAAUCCCACCUAUUACAGCACACGAAAAUAAAAUUGAUAUUAUUUUGGAUGAACAGCUUGUGUUGACCAAUGAUAGAGAAAUUCAAUGCUUUCUUGUUCGUUGGAUGGAUCGACUUGAUUCUGACGGUACAUGGAUUCCCAAAGAGAGACUUCAGUGGCGUGAGCCAAAUUCAUUGGAGCUUUAUAAGAGUCAGCAAUAUUCUCAUUCGCCUAAGUUAUCUUGGUCAGCUCAUGUUUUUGCGGGUAAUUUGCAAUUGGUGUCGUCAUCAUUUGUGGAAUUUCGAUAUUUGGUUCGUCAGAAAGAUCGUCCCCCAUGGCAUGACUUGGAGCCUUUAGCAUCAGAUUCAUUGCAACAUUUGGAUUUAUCCACUCGAAGGGGUCGAGUUUUUUUCCCACCCCGAGAGAGUGGAUGCGGACAUCCAUUUACUAUUUAUUUUCUUUCAUUUACUAUUUAUUUUCUAUUCGGACUAUUAGUUAUAUUCUAUUUGGAUUAUUAUUUAUAUUUCUGUUAUUGGGCUUAUUUAGCGGGUUUGGCCCAAGCCCUUCUCUUUAGGGUUUUUGUUUUGUUAUUUAUUUCUAUUUUGUUGCGUAUUUGAGAUAGUUAAUGAAUUGAUUGAAUAAUAAAGUGGUUGUAGCCCCGUUUUUCCUCUCUUCUUCCCUCUCUCUGUGUUCUCCUCUCGGUUCUCCCUUCUCUUCUCCCCUUCUCCUUCCUAUUUCUUGUUAUUCAUCCUACAUCACAUUCAUUCUAGAUUUUUGGCUAUAAUUGGAAUAAGUGGAGUUUGUAUUGUUAUUGUUUGGGAGCAUGACAUUAAAAAACAAAUUUCUGGAUAACAGUUAUACAUCAUCAUCACUAGGCUUUCAGUUUUGCUUAACGCAUAAAGCCUAUUCAAAUGCCCAUCAAUCUAUCUCCACCAUCAUUAUCUCUAAUUGAGUAUUUCUUAGUGCAUAAACAUAAUUCUGUUUCAACAAAUAGACAUCAAUCAGUUGACGAAAGAAGUAUAUUUUCCUCAGUGUCGAUGAUGUGCUUGUGUGUAUAUCUAUUUCUUUUCCACAUGUAACAAGAUAACAACAUGCUCAACAUAACAAAUCACUGAAAUCUAGAUACUUAUAUUUCCAUUCAAUCACAAAAAUUUGGCUGAGUUAAUUAUUGCAAGUGCUGGAGCCAGAUAAAGAAAAGAAGGGCCCUGUAACAAGGGCAAUCUCGAUCCAAAUGAUGUGUGGAAAAGUGUUGUCACUCUUGUCAUAAAUAACUUGGGGCAAAAGACAUUUGCUGCAUCCUCCUAUGCCCACUAACAUCCU